AUACGGAGGAUCCGAGCGUUAUCCGGGUUUAUUGGGUUUAAAGGGAGCGUAGGCGGGUGUUUAAGUCAGUUGUGAAAGAUUGAGGCUCAACCGUGGAAUUGCAGUUGAUACUGGUCUUCUUGAGUGCGUUAAAUGUAGGCGGAAUUCGUUGUGUAGCGGUGAAAUGCUUAGAUAUCACGAAGAACUCCAAUUGCGAAGGCAGCUCACAGGACUGUAACUGACGCUGAGGCUCGAAAGUGUGGGUAUCAAACAGGAUUAGAUACCCUGGUAGUCCACGCAGUAAACGAUGAAUACUCGCUGUUUGCGAUAUACAGUAGGCGGCCAAGCGAAAGCGUUAAGUAUUCCACCUGGGGAGUACGCCGGCAAGGGUGA
rnacentral:rRNA from 1 species